rnacentral:rRNA from 1 species
AUGCUGAAGAAGGCUGCGGCGAGCGGCAAGGACCGCUUCGGCGACCUCACCAACGACCUCCUCCGGCAUGUGCUGUCCUACCUGCCCAAGGAUGAUGCUCUGCAGACCUGCGUGCUUGGCGCCCGCUGGCGCGGCCUGUGGAGGCGCGCAACCAGCCUGCGCUUCAUCUUGGACGAGAGGUCAAGGUUCCCGCGCUGCGAGCGUUUUGAAAGGCUGGUGAAGCUGGUCAUCCGGCUCCGGGGAGACUCUCCUAUUGUCAGGUGCGAGAUCAGUGUCCAUCCUGAUGACGAGACGGAGACGGAGGGCACAUACACAAACACCAUGCGGUUGAUCGAGUACGCUCUAAGAUGCCAAGUCAAGGACCUGCUAGUCGGAGCUGUUCAAACUGAGGUCUACCCGCUGACAUUCGACGCGCCUCUCAUCUCCCAGCACUUGAGGACCAUAGACUUCUUUUUUCUUCCUUUUGCAAUUUGUGCAGAUUAUCUACAGUUGUGA